GUAUAUGCUGCUGGUCUCUAAGGUUCAGGACAAUGCUGUUGUCUGGUCACCUGCUGUUGACUCUUGAUGUUGAUGUCCUUGCUCUGGAACUGUAUUUUGCCUUCAGGGAGAGCUUAGUUGUCCUUGAAGAUUGUUUGUGAGGAGGUGAAGCUGUAAAACGUUUAGCCAAAAACUUGGCCUGAUUGUAGUUUUAAUUAUGUUGGUGAUGGUGCUCUAUACUUUUUUAUAUCAUUUUUAUUUUUGUUAAUCCAUAUGUAGUGUAUGUGUGUCUGCAUUGUUUCACUCCCUGUUUUUAAUAGUGAUGUGGGCAAACCACAGCCUGCAGCUCCGACUGGAGGUCCCUCGUCCUGUCCUCAAUCCCUCUGAAUUUCGGAUUAGGACAGUCUCUCUUCCAGUGUCCCUUUUCUGUUGGAAAAAUUACACUUCGCUCUGGCGCUGUUGUUCUUAUGGUGGUGGUUUCGGUCAUCGGGGAGGGCGGGACUUCAGAUCGGAGUGGCUUUCAUCACUGCCUGCAGAAUGACGUAAGAACACGGUGGUGAAAUAGGCUAGCAUGUAUGUGUGGUGGAGCUGUGUGCUUAGCAGCGCCUGUUUCCACUUCAGCUCCUCUUUCUCCUGAAAAAGACAUCUCAUCAAAAGCUACCUUUUUCUCCCAUCUCUCUGAUUCCUCUCUUUUUGCCAUCUCACAACAUAGUUCAUGCUUUCUAUCCCACAUUUCUUUACCAUACAAUCAAAAAUCCAAAACAUUUUUUUUCCUUUUUGCCUGUCUCGUUCAGCACUGUAGCAAUCAGAAUUAUUAUCUGAAGGCCAAUAAAAAUGCCCAACGGAUUUAUUAUUAAGUGAUCAUUAUUGGUCCACUUGAUUGAGCUUUAUUAGUAUUUAUUUGUUUUAUUUAUUUAUUUUUUUAACCUUUAAGUUAUUACAAACAGAACAGACAUGACUGGGGGAUAGGAAAGGGAAAGAGACAGAGGAGAGACAUAGACAUGACAACACUGUUAGGAUGCCUGGGUCGUAGACCCAGGGUUUUUGAGUGUAUGAUAUUAUUUAUAUUUUCUAGUUUUUGGGUUUCUUUGAGUUCUGUCUCAUGGGUUAUGUCUCUGUCUUCUUUAGUUGCUCUGUCUCCCCUAUCACCUGCAUCCCCUUGUCUAGUUUGCGUCUAUGUGUAUCCUUAGUUCCUAUAUCCCCGUGUCCACUCAGUGUUUGUGUCUGCCCUGGUCCCACGUCUCUGUUCCCUCUGUAGUGCCUACAUGUGAGGCUGUGUCUUUGUUCAGUCUGUGUUAUGUGUUUCCUGUUUUACUUUGAAGGUCUCUGUCUUUUCUCAGUGUGUUCAGUUUAUGCUUCUUUGGUCUCGUCAGUUUUGAUUUGUCCCAGCUGUGUUUCCCUCCUGUUACUCAUUCCCUGAUUGCUCCCUCUGUGUAUUUAAGCCCUGUGUUUCUCUGUGUCCGUGUCGCGAUCUACCGUUUAUUUUGCUGUGUGUUUUGCCUGUCCACCGGUGUAAGUUUAUUUUGAGUUUUUCUAGUUAUGUCAUGUU
ensembl:lncRNA